rnacentral:rRNA from 1 species
AGUGAACGCUGGCGGUAGGCCUAACACAUGCAAGUCGAACGGCAGCACAGUAAGAGCUUGCUCUUACGGGUGGCGAGUGGCGGACGGGUGAGGAAUACAUCGGAAUCUACUUUUUCGUGGGGGAUAACGUAGGGAAACUUACGCUAAUACCGCAUACGACCUACGGGUGAAAGCAGGGGAUCUUCGGACCUUGCGCGAUUGAAUGAGCCGAUGUCGGAUUAGCUAGUUGGCGGGGUAAAGGCCCACCAAGGCGACGAUCCGUAGCUGGUCUGAGAGGUGGAUCAGCCACACUGGAACUGAAACACGGGCCAGACUCCUACGGGAGGCACCAGUGGGGAAUAUUGGACAAUGGGCGCAAGCCUGAUCCAGCCAUACCGCGUGGGUGAAGAAGGCCUUCGGGUUGUAAAGCCCUUUUUUUGGGAAAGAAAAGCAGCAGGUUAAUACCCCGCUGUUCUGACGGUACCCAAAGAAUAAGCACCGGCUAACUUCGUG